rnacentral:rRNA from 1 species
CCUACGGGAGGCAGCAGUGGGGAAUAUUGCACAAUGGAGGGAACUCUGAUGCAGCGACGCCGCGUGAGUGAAGAAGUAUUUCGUUAUGUAAAGCUCUAUCAGCAGGGAAGAAAGUGACGGUACCUGAAAAAGAAGCUCCGGCUAAAUACGUGCCAGCAGCCGCGGUAAUACGUAUGGAGCAAGCGUUAUCCGGAUUUACUGGGUGUAAAGGGAGAGUAGGUGGCAGAGCAAGUCCGAAGUGAAAACCCAAGGCUUAACCAUGGGACUGCUUUGGAAACUGCUCAGCUAGAGUGGAGGAGAGGUAAGUGGAAUUCUUAGUGUAGCGGUGAAAUGCGUAGAUAUUAGGAGGAACACCAGUGGCGAAGGCGGCUUACUGGACUGUAACUGACGCUGAGGCUCGAAAGCGUGGGGAGCAAACAGGAUUAGAUACCCUAGUAGUC